rnacentral:tRNA from 1 species
GUGGGUGUAGCUCAAGGGUUAGAGCGCCUGGCUGUGGCCCAGGAGGCUGCGGGUU